AAAUGGUAAACAAAUCCAGAUGUCACUAUCGAUUUUUCGCUACAGACUCGGUUGUCGGCCUUAUGGCGUAUUUGUUGCAAGGUCAAUGAGGCUGAAUGUUACAAACAAGAUGAUAAGAUGAUCGCUGUAGGUCUUCUAGUCGUAAUGUUCGCUUUGGUAGAGGUUUCUUUUGCACAGCUACUAGACCCAGGCUGUAUUGGCAAGGGCUGUCCUCCUGAUACAGAGUGCAUCAUAAUGUCUGAAUGUCAGGACAAACUCCAUUGCAAAUCAACAGUCAUUUGUUCCCCAAUAGGACAAACUCCUGACGGAUAAAUUCGAAGACGCUGAUCGAUUAAUCAGGGAAUAAAUAAAGUGUUACAUUAAAAAUAGAA
rnacentral:sRNA from 1 species